UACGUAGGGUCCGAGCGUUGUCCGGAAUUAUUGGGCGUAAAGGGCUCGUAGGCGGUUUGUCACGUCGGGAGUGAAAACUCAGGGCUCAACCCUGAGCGUGCUUCCGAUACGGGCAGACUAGAGGUAUGCAGGGGAGAACGGAAUUCCUGGUGUAGCGGUGGAAUGCGCAGAUAUCAGGAAGAACACCCGUGGCGAAGGCGGCUCUCUGGUACGUGACUGACGCUGAGACGCGAAAGCGUGGGGAGCGAACAGG
rnacentral:rRNA from 1 species